rfam:Pyrinomonas methylaliphatogenes, K22, WGS project CBXV01000000 data, contig: PYK22_K22_C12
GGUCAAGCUACUAAGGGCACACGGUGGAUGCCUUGGCGCAUCGAGGCGAUGAAGGACGUGGCAAGCUGCGAUAAGCGGCGGUGAGGAGCAAGCAUCCUGUGACCCGCCGAUCUCCGAAUGGGGGAACCCGCGUAGGUCAACCCUACGCAUCCCGGCCUGAAUCCAUAGGGCACGGGAGGCGAACCCGGGGAAGUGAACCAUCUCAGUACCCGGAGGAAAAGAAAACAACCGUGAUUCCGUCAGUAGCGGCGAGCGAACGCGGAAGAGCCUAAACCAACUGGACUGCGGUUCAGUUGGGGUCGUGGGAUCAGACACUAUGGGAGUGACAAAAGCUCAGGUUAGCGGAAACCGUUGGAAAGCGGUACCAUAGAGCGUGAUAGUCGCGUACGCGAAAACCUCGAGCUCUCCCGUCUGACUCCCGAGUAACACGGGACACGAGGAAUCCUGUGUGAAUCUGCCGGGACCACCCGGUAAGGCUAAAUACUCCGAUGCGACCGAUAGUGAACUAGUACCGUGAGGGAAAGGUGAAAAGCACCCCGGUGAGGGGAGUGAAAUAGUACCUGAAACCGUGUGCUUACAAGCAGUGGGAGGCGCUUUCCGGCGCUGACCGCGUGCCUUUUGCAUAAUGAGCCGGCUAGUUCGUGUCACAGGCGAGGUUAAGCCGACGAGGCGGAGCCGAAGCGAAAGCGAGUCCGAAGAGGGCGUUGAGUCUGUGGCACGAGGACGCGAAGCGAGAUGAUCUAGGCAUGGCCAGGAUGAAGCCGAGGUAACACUCGGUGGAGGUCCGAACCAGUGUGGGUUGAAAACCGCUUGGAUGAGCUGUGCCUAGGGGUGAAAGGCUAAUCAAAUCUCGUGAUAGCUCGUUCUCGCCGAAAUGGUUUUAGGGCCAGCCUCGGACUAGAGCGUCGCGGUGGUAGAGCACUGAAUGGGCUAGGGGCCCCACAGGGUUACCGAACCCAAUCAAACUCCGAAUGCCGCGCACGUGUUCUCCGGGAGUGAGACUGUGGGGGCUAAGCUCCAUGGUCGAGAGGGAAACAACCCAGACCGACAACUAAGGCCCCAAAGUCGUGGUUAAGUGGAAAAGGAGGUGGGGACGCCCUGACAGCCAGGAGGUUUGCUUAGAAGCAGCAAUCCUUUAAAGAAAGCGUAAUAGCUCACUGGUCAAGCGGCCCUGCACCGACAAUUCAACGGGGCUUAAACCACGCGCCGAAGUUUCGGAUCGCGAAGGUCGCUGAUCUUCGCGAUGGUAGGCGAGCAUUCCGUAGCUGCGAAGCGGUUCCGAAAGGGCCGUUGGAGCGAUCGGAAAAGACUCUGUCGGCAUAAGUAGCGACAACGCGGGCGAGAACCCCGCGCGCCGAAAACCUAAGGUUUCCUCUGUAAAGUUAAUCUGCAGAGGGUAAGUCGGUCCCUAAGGCGAGGCCGAAAGGCGUAGCCGAUGGAAAUCCGGUUAAAAUUCCGGAACCACCAGCGUGUGCUGUGGGGGGACGCAGUCGGGUAGGCGAGACCGGCGAUGGAUGUCCGGUUGAACGCCGCGAGCCCGUCGCUUAGGCAAAUCCGGGCGACACACAGGGCGAGCGGGCGGGACGAAAGUACGCCCCUUCGGGGGCGGAAACAAGUCGCCGACCCCAGCUGCCAAGAAAAGCCUCGGGCAGCUUCAACACGCAUGGUGACCGUACCGCAAACCGACACAGGUAGGUGGGGUGAGAAUCCUAAGGCGCUUGUGAGAACCCUCGUUCAGGAACUCGGCAAACUGGCCCCGUAACUUCGGGAGAAGGGGUGCCCCGGUAGGGUCUUCGGGCCCGAGGGGGUCGCAGUGAAAGGUCCCAGGCGACUGUUUACUAAAAACACAGGUCUCCGCAAACUCGUAAAGAGGAUGUAUGGGGGGCUGACGCCUGCCCAAUGCCGGAAGGUUAAAGGGAAGGGUUAGCCGCAAGGCGAAGCCCUGAACUGAAGCCCCGGUGAAUGGCGGCCGUAACUAUGACGGUCCUAAGGUAGCGAAAUUCCUUGUCGGGUAAGUUCCGACCUGCACGAAUGGCGUAACGAUCUGGGAGCUGUCUUAACGAGGGGCACAGCGAACUUGUAGUACCGGUGAAGAUGCCGGUUUCCCGCGUCUAGACGGAAAGACCCCGUGGACCUUUACUACAACCUGAUAGUGGGCUCGGGCAAAUCAUGCGCAGGAUAGGUGGGAGGCUGUGAAGCCGGCCCUUCGGGGUCGGUGGAGCCACCGGUGAGAUACCACCCUUGGUUUGUCUGGGCUCUAACCUGCCGCUGUGAAUCCAGCGGAGGGACACUAUCAGGCGGGUAGUUUGACUGGGGCGGUCGCCUCCUAAAUGGUAACGGAGGCGCUCGAAGGUUGGCUCAGGCUGUUUGGAAAUCAGCCGUAGAGUGCAAACGCAUAAGCCAGCCUGACUGUGAGACACACACGUCGAGCAGGGACGAAAGUCGGAGUUAGUGAUCCGGCGGUUCCGUGUGGAAGGGCCGUCGCUCAACGGAUAAAAGGUACCCCGGGGAUAACGAAAGUUGUCCCGAUCCCAUGGUAACAUGGGAUCUAGUUCGCGGCUUAUAACGGUGGAGUCCUCAGCUUGGGAGGCUGGGGAUAAUACCGUGGGAAGUCUAGAGGAGCACCAAGUGUUAAAAAGGCAGCGUGAGAUCCUGAUUGGAACGAUUCUCGGGGACGCUUGGCUGCAGCGCACAGGGAGAAGAAGCGCUCGGCUCCGAUUGGAGCACUCGGAAAAACAGAAGGAUUACAUCUUCUGGAAGUACGAAGAGCUGAAGAACCUGAUGCAAGAUCAGCCAAAGCGAAUCGAGCGUUUCAAUCCGAGAUUCAACAAAACUUACGUGUACUAUCGCUGCCAAUCGCACUCGAGUCCGACGUUGGGAAAAUACAGGCGAUACUUCUACGACGAAGCGGGCAGAAAGCGGGUGCCAGAGCAGAUCGAAAAACUGCUCAGAUCGCCGCUCUCUCUGGCGGUUUGGUACAUGGAUGACGGGCAUUACUAUGCGCGAGAUAAGGUCGCUUUCAUCUAUUUGCCGAACUACACAGAGGAAGAGCUAUCGAGGUUAUGUAAAGCUCUUGGCCUGAACUUCGGCGUAGAACCAAAGCUGAUUUACAAAAGGGGUCACCCUUGCCUGUAUUUCCCUCGGUCAGAAACUGCUCGGUUGCAUGCCAUCAUCGGCGAGCAUGUCAUCGAGAGCAUGAAGUACAAAACUCCUCUUGACCCCGUAACGACUGAGGGCGAGUUGCCCGAGGACUCCGGUAUGGAGUCAAGACGCCGCGCCCCCGACCUUGAGUUGGGGUGAAGAUAUAGUCUGCCCCUUCAGGUAACUGGAGGCAUGGUGAACAGGCUGAUCGGGCCCAAGAGUGCACAUCGACGGCCCGGUUUGGCACCUCGAUGUCGGCUCAUCGCAUCCUGGGGCUGAAGAAGGUCCCAAGGGUUCGGCUGUUCGCCGAUUAAAGCGGUACGUGAGCUGGGUUUAGAACGUCGCGAGACAGUUCGGUCCCUAUCUGGCGUGGGCGUAGCAGGACUGAGGGAAUCUGUCCCUAGUACGAGAGGACCGGGAUGGACCGACCUCUGGUGUACGAGUUGUCGCGCCAGCGGCAGCGCUCGGUAGCCAAGUCGGGCAUGGAUAAACGCUGAAUGCAUCUAAGCGUGAAGCCAGACCCAAGAUGAGUCCUGCCCGUGAGACCCCUGGAAGACCACCAGGUUGAUAGGCUGGAAGUGUAAGCGCAGCAAUGCGUUUAGCUGACCAGUACUAAUCGGUCCCAUGGCUUGACCGU